rnacentral:rRNA from 1 species
CCUACGGGAGGCAGCAGUGGGGAAUAUUGGACAAUGGGCGCAAGCCUGAUCCAGCCAUGCCGCGUGAGUGAUGAAGGCCCUAGGGUUGUAAAGCUCUUUCACCGGUGAAGAUAAUGACGGUAACCGGAGAAGAAGCCCCGGCUAACUUCGUGCCAGCAGCCGCGGUAAUACGAAGGGGGCUAGCGUUGUUCGGAAUUACUGGGCGUAAAGCGCACGUAGGCGGAUACUUAAGUUAGGGGUGAAAUCCCAGGGCUCAACCCUGGAACUGCCUCUAAUACUGGGUAUCUUGAGUCCGAGAGAGGUGAGUGGAAUUCCGAGUGUAGAGGUGAAAUUCGUAGAUAUUCGGAGGAACACCAGUGGCGAAGGCGGCUCACUGGCUCGUUACUGACGCUGAGGUGCGAAAGCGUGGGGAGCAAACAGGAUUAGAUACCCCUGUAGUC